GAUAAUCAUCCCCAAAGCUAGAAACACCCCGCCAGCUCGAAAGUAGGGUUCGGUUUUUUUAAACCACGGCUGUGGCCCCCGUGACCCCAGGCAGGCCCCGCCCCUUCCUGGUUGUCUUAGCGACGGCGGUGGCGUCCCAAGAUGGCGUCGUGGCUGCCGGAGACUCUGUUCGAAAUUGUAGGACAAGGCCCAGCGCCGAGCAAAGACUAUUACCAGUUAUUGGUCACCCGGUUCCAGGUAAUUUUUAGAUGGUGGAAGAUCUCUCUGAGGAGUGAGUAUCGAUCAACAAAACCUGGAGAAACAAAAGAAACUCAUCAAGACUUCCUAGAGAAGUCACAUCUUCAGGUUCAAAUUGCCUUAAUAUUUGGUUCAAGAAUAUUAGACUAUGUCUUCAAUUUAUGUGAAGGUAAAUUUGACUUCCUUGAACGGCUCUCAGACAGUUUGCUGCUGAAUAUCAUUUCUUACCUGGAUCUUGAAGACAUUGCCAGGCUUUCUCAAACAUCACGCAGAUUUGCAAAGCUGUGCAUGUCGGACGAACUGUGGGAGCAGAUCGUCCGGAGCUCCUGUGACCACAUCACCCCCGACAUGCGAGCCUUGGCCCAGGACAUGGGCUGGAGACAGAUGUACUUCACCAACAAGCUGCAGCUCCAGCGGCACCUCCGCAAGAGGAAGCAGCGGCAGGGAAGCCGGAGAAGCAGUCAGCUCUAGACGCACACGUUCCCGCCGCCGGAGAGUAGGAGGCACGGCUGUGUUUUCCUUCUGUGUCAGACCUCUUCUGCUGCCUUCCCUUAAGUGCUAAGGCCUUGCCGAUUCAAGGAGUCAUAGAGUACUUGCACACACAUGCAGCACCACGCCUGCCUCUGCCAGGCCUUUUGCCUGAACCACAGUCUCGGCUACAGGAACAGUAUCAUCAACCUAAAAUCCUGUAAGACACCAGCAACCUCAGUGGUCAAUCAUUCUGCCUCUCUCUCCCGCCUCCAUGGGGAGGCGAUGGUGGUUUUGCCUCUCCGCCUCUGCUGACGGUUUUUAUGUGGACGGAUAAAUCUGCUUCGUUCAUGACACAUCAUUUCAGAGUGAAAUGCCACAGCAGUUUAUACUUUUGUCUCUUUUCAUCUCUUCACUCAAAAGUGCUUCUACCCGGCUAUCACUCACCAUUGUAACUGUAAAAGUAAAAUGCUGAUAUUCUCCAAUGACUCAUAUGUUUAGUGUUAUAAAAAUAAUUUAUUAACAGCCGCAUAUGUGAAUAUUUAAUUUAUAAACUAAAGAAAUAUGUAUAUUUUACUCCAUGUCAACUUCUAGUACUGCUUUUUAUUCUUGAAGAGGUUAGUAGAUUACAUGCAUUAAACUUUGAUUAUAUGAAAUCUGCAAUUA